rnacentral:rRNA from 1 species
CUUGGCGGUUAUGGCGCGGGUGAAACACCCGAUCCCAUCCCGAACUCGGCAGUGAAAGCCCGCAGCGCCGAUGGUACUGCGUCUUAAGGCGCGGGAGAGCAGGUCGCUGCCAAGC